CUCCCUCCUUCCUUCCCUCCCUUCCUCCCUCUCUCCCUCCCUCCCAGCUCCUGCACCAGGAAACGGCCCGGAUCCCGGCAGCGGCCUGACCCGGCUCCACGCUGGCCAGGAGGAUGAAAGGCCCCAGCUGGGGGCUCCUUGCCACCAGUGCUGUGUCUUAAGAGCUGCCAUCCCGGCUGGGCGGAGUUCACAGCUCUAUACGGGGACGGGGCCCUGGAGGAGGCGCGGCGUCUGCGGGAGGGGAACUGGGCAUCAGUGAGGACAGUGCUGACGGGGGCCGUGGCACUGGGGGCCCUGGUAACUGUAGGGGCCUUUUUUGCUAGCAAGUGAAAGUCCAGGGCCAGGUGGGGCUAGGUGUGGCUGGGGGCCAGGAGAGCAGGAACAGAACAGAGAAAUGCCCUUGGAAGAAGUGGAGUUGGUGGAUGGGUGGGCAUGGAACAGGAUGGGCAGAGAAAGGGUAGUGUGUGAGGGAGCUGAGUAGGCCAGGUAGGCGAUUGGAAGAGUGAGCAGGACACAGAGGGGAGGGGAAUGUUUUGGCAAGUUUAGGGGCACAGGAGAUGUAGUCGUUCCAGGGCUGGGGGAGGUGGGAGGGAUCACGCCUAUAGGUGUGGGCACAUGAAACGACCUGGAACUUGCUUCACAGCCCUGAGGAAGGUGGACUUACAUAAGCAGCUGUAUUCCAUUAGAUGAGUGGGAUUUAGGGAACGCAGAAGGCACAUCCCUUUGGAAUGGAAGCUUAGGGGUUCUCAGGUGAUAGGGAGAGGUGGCUGUUAACAGUGGGCUGCUUGGACACGCGUGUGCAUGUGCACGCAUGCUGGUGUGCAUGCUGGGCUGCCUGGCAAAUCUGGUGGUGAUGGGAUUCCUCAAGGAGAAAACAUUCCCUCUUGCAAUGGCAAGAACUAGGGGCAGUUCUCUGUCCCUCCUCCCAACCCCUCCUUUCCCCUGCCCUUGUCCUGAUGCCUCAAGGCUUAGAGAGAAACAUUGUAUCCAGACCGAGGGCUCUGCUGCUUCUUUCCAGAAAGUGAUUGGCAAGGCUUUGGAGAGAAGAGCAGUUCUGCAGCUGGCCUUGUUCCUUCAUCAUCCCCCUUCCUUGUGCAUUAUGCACUUGCUGCUGCCUCCUGGGCUCUGAUAGAAGGGCAGGGCUGUUGAGCCUGGAUGGGUGGAGGCUUAGGUAGCCGGACCUGCCUGCCACCCUCCUCUCCCACUCAGGCACAAUGGUGCCUAAAGUGUUUCCAAUCUCUGGGACCUCUGUACCCAAACUGAAACUCUAAAUUGGGGCCCUAACUAAUUUUCCUUUUGAGGUUGUGGGCAUAAGUGCUGAUCUAGAAUACAGUCUGGGUCCCACACUGUGUCUCAGUGAGACUGUUGAUGCCUUGAGAUGACCAUUUCAGAUCUGAAUCCCAUGGGUGUGAGGGUGAUGGGUACUCCAGGACUGGCCUAUGCUGUGUUGUGGGCUUUGGUUCGGCUUUAUCAGGGGCCAGGCAUAUGGGUUCUAGAGUACCUACCAUGACCUAGAAGCAUUUAUGAUUUAUUUGAAGCCACACUGUUUGCAUGGGUGUUACUUGUCUGUACCUCAGAGUCUGAGGAUGUUAACUUUGGAACUCGCAGUCCUCUAGAACAGCUUCAGAUUAUGGCUUUUUCUUUUGAGGAAGAAAUUAUUCACUCCAGAUGCAUGCCCUGAGCCAGACCUCACUGCUGCACUUUCCAAGGUGCUAAGAUUGCUGCUCUCCAAUGCUAACUUUCUGACACAGUGCUCUAGAACCCUGCCUGUGGUCCUGAGCACUGAUCACCUUAGCUAGACCAUGGUUGACUCUUCUUGGAGAUUUUCACUUGGUCCUAGAAUGUGGCAACGUAGUUGUGCUCGCCAGAACGUGGGACCAAAUUGGCCUCAGGUGUUGAGUCCAGACUUCUGCUUUUGAGAGAGGGCUGCACUUUUUCAUGGUAUUUCUAGGGGAGGUGGUAGGCUGCAUGUGCCACUUGGUCUUGUUGUGAGUAUGCUGACACCAGAAACUCAGAGCCAGCUUGUGGCAAGCAGUUGGGGUGGGGGGUCUCUGACUUGCUCAGGACAAACUAGGCCAGUGGUUUUCAAACUGCUUGGCAGAGCCCUGAAGUUUCCUAGGGGUUGCCUCAGGAGUCCUUGGGGAGAUGAAGGGGGUGGGGAGCUGAGCAGGCUGGGCAAUUUGCCCUCAAACAGAACAGCUCCCCUUGUAGCUGUCUUACAUAUUGGGGUUCAGGGUAAGAUUUUAUUUGCAUUAAGGGGUUUGCUGCUGAAAAAAAGUUGGAAAACCACUGACUAGACCAUCGGCUCCAAAUUGGAGUCUGUGCUUCCUUCCCCAGGUAUGGAGCACACUCUUCACCCUACCCUCUACCACAGGACACAUAUCCCUGUUAGCAUUCCCCGGGACCUUUAGCCAAGAGGAGCUGCAGGGACCAUGGCCAGGUUACCAAAAUGCCCUGCUCUGAAGCCUUGACACCUGGGUGGAAAGAGAGGCUGUUUUCUGAAAGGGUAAAGGGCUUGGUCUGGAUUCCCAGAAGCAUAGCUUAGAUGGGACCACAGUGGGCAAUUUUGACCUGUCCUGCCCUUCUUAGCUUGAAGGGAAACCCCAGAGACUCUUCUGUCAGGGAAAACUAGGGACUCUCUUCUAGAGCCAUAUAGUUCCUUGGGAUUAGCUCUUGGCCAAGAAGGCUGAGUAUGGUUCCCAAUUUUUAAAUCCAUUUCAUUUUUUAAAAAAUAAGGGAAAUAAAUGUAAUUGCCAUUUUUCAAAGAUUAAGUAGGAGGAGAGGGGUUUCUUGCUCUCCAGAGCCCAAAGGGACAAAUAGGGACUUUGUUUAGGCCAAGGAAGGAGCGGAAGUAGGGCAACUCGGUCCUGCGAUUAUUAAUCCCACUCCCCACUUAUUCUAGGGCACACAAACACUAUUUUACUUUUUUAAAAUCAUAAAACGGCAGAACAGAUUUGGUUAGUUUAGAAGAAAAGAAAGCUCUAUAAAUAUAAAUCUAUAUUCCUGUAUUUUUAUUUAAUAAUUUAUAAAUACCAAGUUCAUUUGACUUUUAUUUUUGUGUAAUAUGUAAUGAUCGUAUUAAAAACAAUAAAUAAAGCCCAGAAGUUUAAUGAGAAGGACUG
rnacentral:lncRNA from 10 species